GAUGAACGCUGGCGGCGUGCCUAAUACAUGCAAGUCGAGCGAACGGACGAGAAGCUUGCUUCUCUGAUGUUAGCGGCGGACGGGUGAGUAACACGUGGAUAACCUACCUAUAAGACUGGGAUAACUUCAGGAAACCGGAGCUAAUACCGGAUAAUAUUUUGAACCGCAUGGUUCAAAAGUGAAAGACGGUCUUGCUGUCACUUAUAGAUGGAUCCGCGCUGCAUUAGCUAGUUGGUAAGGUAACGGCUUACCAAGGCAACGAUGCAUAGCCGACCUGAGAGGGUGAUCGGCCACACUGGAACUGAGACACGGUCCAGACUCCUACGGGAGGCAGCAGUAGGGAAUCUUCCGCAAUGGGCGAAAGCCUGACGGAGCAACGCCGCGUGAGUGAUGAAGGUCUUCGGAUCGUAAAACUCUGUUAUUAGGGAAGAACAUAUGUGUAAGUAACUGUGCACAUCUUGACGGUACCUAAGCAGAAAGCCACGGCUAACUACGU
rnacentral:rRNA from 1 species